UACGAAGGGGACUAGCGUUGUUCGGAAUUACUGGGCGUAAAGCGCGCGUAGGCGGAUCGCUAAGUCAGGGGUGAAAUCCCAGGGCUCAACCCUGGAAUUGCCUUUGAUACUGGCGAUCUUGAGUACGGGAGAGGUGUGUGGAACUCCGAGUGUAGAGGUGAAAUUCGUAGAUAUUCGGAAGAACACCAGUGGCGAAGGCGACACACUGGCCCGUUACUGACGCUGAGGCGCGAAAGCGUGGG
rnacentral:rRNA from 1 species